UGGGAAUAAAUUGUUACAAGGGUCCGUUGGUGAACCAGCGGAGGGAUCAUUACCGAGUUAUACAACUCCCAAACCCCAUGUGAACCAUACCGAAUGUUGCUUCGGCGGGCUCGGCGCUCCGGCCCCGGCGCCCGCCGGAGGUAUCAAACUCUUUGUUUUUUUGGUGGCAUUAUCUGAGUAGCGCAAGCAAAUAAAAUCAAAACUCUGAACAACGGAUCUCUUGGUUCUGGCAUCGAUGAAGAACGCAGCGAAAUGCGAUAAGUAAUGUGAAUUGCAGAAUUCAGUGAAUCAUCGAAUCUUUGAACGCACAUUGCGCCCCGCCAGUAUUCUGGCGGGCAUGCCUGUUCGAGCGUCAUUUCAACCCUCAAGCCCCAUUGGGCUUGGUGUUGGGGAUCGGCCGCGGCGGCUCCUAGUCGCCCGCGGCCGGCCCCGAAAUCUAGUGGCGGUCUCGCUGUAGCCUCCUCUGCGUAGUAGAAACACCUCGCUCUGGAAGACAGCGUGGCCACGCCGUAAAACCCCCAAGUUUUACUGAAGGUUGACCUCGGAUCAGGUAGGAAUACCCGCUGAACUUAAGCAUAUCAAUAAGCGGAGGAAAAGAAACCAACAGGGAUUGCCCUAGUAACGGCGAGUGAAGCGGCAACAGCUCAAAUUUGAAAUCUGGCCGCAAGGCCCGAGUUGUAAUUUGCAGAGGAUGCUUUGGGCGCGGCGCCUUCCGAGUUCCCUGGAACGGGACGCCAUAGAGGGUGAGAGCCCCGUCUGGUUGGAUGCCUAGCCUAUGUAAAGCUCCCUUCGACGAGUCGAGUAGUUUUGGGAAUGCUGCUCAAAAUGGGAGGUAUAUGUCUUCUAAAGCUAAAUACUGGCCAGAGACCGAUAGCGCACAAGUAGAGUGAUCGAAAGAUGAAAAGCACUUUGAAAAGAGGGUUAAAUAGUACGUGAAAUUGUUCAGAAGGGAAGCGCUUUCUGACCAGACUUGGGCUCGGUGAAUCAUCCAGCGUUCUCGCUGGUGCACUUUGCCGGGUCCAGGCCAACAUCAGUUCGUCGCGGGGGAUAAAGGCUUCGGGAAAGUGGCCCCCUCGGGGGUGUUAUAGACCGUUGUGCAAUACCCUGCGAUGGACUGAGGUUCGCGUCCGCAGGAUGUGGCUAUGGUCAUCACGACCUUUUUAAAACGGAAAAAA
rnacentral:rRNA from 1 species